GGGCCCGCACAAGCGGUGGAGUAUGUGGUUUAAUUCGAUGCAACGCGAAGAACCUUACCAGCCUUUGACAUCCUAGGACGGUUUCUGGAGACAGAUUCCUUCCCUUCGGGGACCUAGUGACAGGUGCUGCAUGGCUGUCGUCAGCUCGUGUCGUGAGAUGUUGGGUUAAGUCCCGCAACGAGCGCAACCCUCGUCCUUAGUUGCCAUCAUUCAGUUGGGCACUUUAAGGAAACUGCCGGUGAUAAGCCGGAGGAAGGUGGGGAUGACGUCAAGUCCUCAUGGCCCUUACAGGCUGGGCUACACACGUGCUACAAUGGUAGGGACAAUGGGUUAAUCCCAAAAAGCUGUCUCAGUUCGGAUUGGAGUCUGCAACUCGACUCCAUGAAGCUGGAAUCGCUAGUAAUCG
rnacentral:rRNA from 1 species